rnacentral:miRNA from 1 species
GCGGGUGCGCGAGGGAGCACUCUCUGUGUGCUUCCUCUUCAGCUCCCUCGCGCGCCGCGUACUGAUGCCGGAGCCGGAAGAUGACGUCAUCUUCCGGCUCCGGGAUCAGUACGGUGCGCGAGGGAGCUGAAGAGGAAGCACACAGAGAGUGCUCCCUCGCGCGCGGCC